rnacentral:pre_miRNA from 1 species
AAUAAGUGUAGCCGUAGAUAUCCGUGCCCAAUGUUUGACCAUCCGUCUUAUUUAAAACAUUUGUGAAAAAUUUAAAAAUAUUUAGUCACGCAUAAAGUACUAUUCAUGUUUUAUCAUCUAAUAGUAAUAAAAAUACUAAUCAUAAAAAAUUUUCAAAUAAGACGAACGGUCAAAUGUUGAACGUGAAUAGUGUAAAACUGCACUUAUU